AUUGAACGCUGGCGGCAGGCUUAACACAUGCAAGUCGAGCGGGGUGAUGAUGCUUGCACUAUCACUUAGCGGCGGACGGGUGAGUAAUGCUUAGGAAUCUGCCUAUUAGUGGGGGACAACAUCUCGAAAGGGAUGCUAAUACGCAUACGUCCUACGGGAGAAAGCAGGGGAUCACUUGUGACCUUGCGCUAAUAGAUGAGCCUAAGUCGGAUUAGCUAGUUGGUGGGUAAAGGCCUACCAAGGCGACGAUCUGUAGCGGGUCUGAGAGGAUGAUCCGCCACACUGGGACUGAGACACGGCCCAGACUCCUACGGGAGGCAGCAGUGGGGAGUAUUGGACAAUGGGGGGAACCUGAUCCAGCCAUGCCGCGUGUGUGAAGAAGGCCUUAUGGUUGUAAAGCACUUUAAGCGAGGAGGAGGCUCUUUUGGUUAAUACCCAAGAUGAGUGGACGUUACUCGCAGAAUAAGCACCGGCUAACUCUGUGCCAGCCGCCGCGGUAA
rnacentral:rRNA from 1 species